rnacentral:rRNA from 1 species
AACGAACGCUGGCGGCAUGCCUAACACAUGCAAGUCGAACGAGACCUUCGGGUCUAGUGGCGCACGGGUGCGUAACGCGUGGGAACCUGCCCUUAGGUUCGGAAUAACUCCCCGAAAGGGGUGCCAAUACGGGAUAAUUUCUUCGAACCAAAGAUGUAUCGCCUUAGGAGGUGCCCGCUUUGGAUUAGCUAUUUGGUAGGUUAAAGGCCUACCAAGGCUAUGUUCCAUAGCUGGUCUGGGAGGAUGGUCCCCCACACUGGGACUGUAACAGGCCCCAGACUCCUACGGGAGGCAGCAGGUGGGAAUAUUCGACGAUGGGCGAAAGCCUGAUCCAGCCAUGCCGCGUGAGUGAGGAAGGCGUUAGGGUUGUAAAGCUCUUUUAACCGGGAUGAUAAUGACAGUACCGGGAGAAUAAGCGCCGGCUAACUCCGUG